AAUAUUGCACAAUGGGCGAAAGCCUGAUGCAGCAACGCCGCGUGAGCGAUGAAGGCCUUCGGGUCGUAAAGCUCUGUCCUCAAGGAAGAUAAUGACGGUACUUGAGGAGGAAGCCCCGGCUAACUACGUGCCAGCAGCCGCGGUAAUACGUAGGGGGCUAGCGUUAUCCGGAAUUACUGGGCGUAAAGGGUGCGUAGGUGGUUUCUUAAGUCAGAGGUGAAAGGCUACGGCUCAACCGUAGUAAGCCUUUGAAACUGAGAAACUUGAGUGCAGGAGAGGAGAGUAGAAUUCCUAGUGUAGCGGUGAAAUGCGUAGAUAUUAGGAGGAAUACCAGUUGCGAAGGCGGCUCUCUGGACUGUAACUGACACUGAGGCACGAAAGCGUGGGGAGCAAACAGG
rnacentral:rRNA from 1 species